ACUGUUAAGAUAGCCAUGCACGUCUAAGUACAAACUAAAUGAUGGUGAAACUGCAAAUGGCUCAUUACAACGGUUAUGAUGUACCCGGGAGUUCCGAUGGAUAUUUCCAGUAACACUAGAACUAAUACAUGUCCCUGCGUUUAUUAGUUUCGCACAGUCCGUCGCUGAGUCAUGGUAAACAGUUGAUCGACUCGACGUCCCGGAACAGUUUCCGCCCCAUCAGCUUCGAUGGUUGGGUAUUGGCCUACCAUUGCAACAACGGGUAACGAGGAAUUAGGGUUUGAUUUCGGAGAGGGAGCCUGAGAAACGGCUACCACAUCUACGGAUGGCAGCAGGCGCGCAAAUUACCCAAUGCAGACACUGUGAGGUAGUGACGAGAAAUAAUAAAGCGGGACUUCUGUUUCGCUAAUAUUAAUGAAGGAAUAACCAAAGGUCAUUCCCGAUUUAGCAACUGAUGGGAAAGUCUGGUGGCAGCAGCCGCGGUAAUACCCAGCGUCAGU
rnacentral:rRNA from 1 species